rnacentral:lncRNA from 12 species
AUGCCUCUUCCCUUAUUAGAGCCGGAAUGGUUGGAAUGGUUUCCAAGACUCCUCUUGCCUCGGGCCAGAAGCAGGUGGAGCCCAGAUAAGAAAUCCACACCUCCCAUCUCUUCAAUUCCAGCCGGUGCUGUCCUCCCUGCCAUUGGUCUUGAACUGCAAGGCUGGUGUAGCUGUUUGGUGUUGCUGGGGGCCGGCUGCAGCUCAGUAAGAUGUUACCAUGAGAAGAGGAGAAAACAGACCAGAGUGUGAGCUGCAGAGAUAGUUUCCUCCAUGAGCUCCUUAGACGGAAUCUUUCCAGAGCCUCAUGGAUCUGACUCUUGAGUGGGGUAAGGACCUGACAUGGCUAUUUCAGGGUAGGUCAUUACCAACUAAUUAGUCACUGUUACUGGGCUCCUCAUUAUCCAAAGCGGUAGUGCAACAUUCUAGUUUCUUAUUCAAAACCCACCAACUACCUUAAUCCAAGUCUUUUAAAAAAAUAUUUUAUUUUUUUAUUCAUGAGAGACACACACAGAGAGAGAGAGAGAGAGAGGCAGAGACAUAGGCAGAGGGAGAAGCAGACCCUCUGCAGGGAGCCUGAUGUGGGACUCCAUCCCAGAACCCCAGGAUCACACCCUGAGCUGAAGGCAGAUGCUCAACUGCUGAGCCACCCAGGUGUCCCUCCCUAUCCGAAUCUUUAUUAUGCCUUUUGUUUACCUUUGUUUUGCUUCUUAGGGAAAUAUACAAGAAUGGAAUUAGAGACUUAGAUUGAUAGGUCCUUGCUUCCAACUCAAUUACCAACUCUCAAGAUGACUUUGAAUUUUUGAGAUUGUCAGCUAACCCUCUUCUUAAUCUUUAAGGAGAGAGGGGAAUGCAUUCAGAGGCAUUGUGGUUUAAUGCAUAGGUUCUGGAUUUGAAUCUGAUUUAUGCAACUCAGUUCAUAUCUUUAUGAUCUUCAAUAAGGAAAUUCACAUUUCUGAGGUUCAGUUUCCCCUUAUGUAACAUGGCAUGUUGUUAGUAUGGGUUGACCCUUGAAUGACACGGGUUUGAAGUGCAUGGGUCCACUUACACAGUACAGCACUGUUGUGUAUUUUGUCUUCCUUAUGAUUUUUCUCAAUAAUUUUUUUCUCUAGCUUACUUUAUUGGGUGAAUACAGUAUAUAAUAUACACAAUAUAUAAAAUAUGUGUUAGCCAACUGUUUAUGUUGUCAAUAAGGCUCCUGAUCAAUAGGAGGCUAUUAGGUUUUUGGGGGAGGAGUCAAAAGUUAUACAUGGAUUGUUUUGACUGUGCCAGGGGUCAGCAUCCCUAAGCCUGUAUUGUUGAAGGGACAACUGUAUCUCCCUCAUGAGGUCAUUGAGAGGAUUGAGUUAAUUUAGAUAGAAUGCUUAGCAUGGUGUUUAUUAUUAUUAUUGUUUAUUAUUGUUGCAUUAUUACCCCCCAAGGAAUAGCCAAUCUGCUUAGCAUUAAAUAUGUUAUUACAAUGAGUCCCCAAGGCAACCAUCUGAGAUAGGUAUUAGUCCGAUAGAUGAACUCAUAUCUCUCUGAGAUGGAAUGACUUGUUUAAAGUCACACGGCUGGGAAAUGAGAGAGCUGGUAUUCAAACCCAGUUCGAUUAACUGCAGAACCCAUACACUUUCUGUGAGUACUUUUUUGCACAUCUGAGAUUCAUUGAUCCUCCACCCAGACUGGGUCUGACUGCACAAGCUAUGUUAAUUACUUGAAUAAUUAAGAAGAGAGGAUUCUUUCACUUGUAUAUUUCCAUGUAGAGUGUUAGCCUUACGUUCAUUAGAACGUUAAAAUGUGAAGUCAAACAGCGAAUACUGUUUAAGAUUAAGUUAUAUGACUUUUGGGACUAAGUUUUUAGCUUUUUCCCCCCUACUGCCAGACACUCAGUAGAAAAGCUGUAGAUGUUUUAUUUCUUAUCUCUCUCCUGUGAGUGCCAAGCAAGUGAACCUUAUAUGAGCUUGUAAACUCAGAGUGAGUGUGUGUGGCCAUGUAGAAGAUGUGAUUGAAUGUUGGUGGAGGUGGGAGUAGGAAAAGGGAAAAAUAUAAUUAAUUGUUACCAGAGGGAAAAGUUGAACUGGGUGGAGGUUCGGAAUGACUCACCUGGAUCUUUGACUCAAGUGACUUAAUGAGUUUCUGCAACGCCUUCUGAUAAAAGUUUGGCCAAGGAGAUGGUAUUUUGUUCAGGGUGUAACCACUCCAAGCCUUGACUGCUGUUUGGAAGCAGUGCCUACCAUUUUGCAAAAGAUGACUCAGAGAUUGAGAAGCAAAGGGGGAAUAACUCACCUUACCUGGAUUGCUGAUUUAGGAUUCCAAACGGCACAAGCAUUAGCUGAUUAACCUAUCAAGAAUAUAAAAAAAUCAAGUUUGAAAAAUACCCAGGAGCUAAACUGUGUUCUAAAAGUGGGGCAAAACAGCCCAGAAGGUAGGAAAAAAGGAGAGAGAGAGAGAAAAGAUCAAAGUUGAGGAAACAAGCCUUCGUUAGAAAAUCAUCCAACGCAAACAACGAAAAAAACAGGUGAUGGCAAUAAUGGGCUUGCCUUCCUAUGAAAAUAAUGGAUUCAACAAGCAUUUGUGAGUCCCUAAUGAGAUGUUUGAAAUCACAGUGAAUCUUGCUGCACUUGAAAUCCCUUAUCUGGUGUGCUGAACUUGGGAGCUAUCUCUUGCUAUUGAUUUUUAAGCUUUUGAAAAAAAUAUCUGAUUUUAUUUGCUAAAUAUCCAAAAGAGGAAAAUGGAAUGACCCUACUCACCAGGGGUGACUUUCUAAAGUAAAACAAUUGUGUUAAGUCUUUUUUUUUUUUUAAAAGCUCUAAUGGUUUGCAUUUUCCAAAUAGAGUCUAGGCUUGUGAGCAUGACAUAGUGAUCUUUUAGAAACUUGUGAUGGCUGAUUUUUUUAUUUGGUAUCUUAUCACUUCUUCCUGUGAACCCCAUAUUCUAAUUAUUCUGGGAGGUUUGGUCUUCCCAGGACAUUUAAAGUGUCCUCUGGCACAGAGAAUGUAAUUCUCUGUGUAAUUUUUUCCCACAUGAGAAACUUUGCUUUUCCUUCAGAAGCCAGAUCUUGAGUCUUCCAAAAAGUUUGUGUUUUGGCUGCAUUUCUUCCUGUGCCCUAUUACUAAUUUCUGCAAACAUAUUUGUGUGUGUGUGUGUGUGUGUUUCUGUAGCAGUAUGCAGAUUUCAAAAUUAAUUUCUCUGUUAGGGUGUGGCCAUCCUUUUUCUUUUAUAAAUAUAUUACAAUAGUUGACUUUGCCCAUAAAUCCCUCUGAGCUUUAUUUAUGUUUUCAUAGGAAACAUUUUUUUUUUUUUUUAGGAAACAUUUUUAAAAUCAAAAUGAUUAGAUUGAAGAGUUUUAAUACUUUCAGACCCUUGGUCCCAAUGCCACAUUGCUUUCUGUAAAGAAAUAUCUAUUUGCAUGUCUACCAGGAACAUGAUAGUACUUGUUUCAAUAGCUCCACCUCUUGUGGGUCUCAUUCUUAAGAUAAAAAUAAAUAAUAGUAGUAAUGAGGGAAAAAGGAAAAC